rnacentral:rRNA from 1 species
GACACGGUCCAAACUCCUACGGGAGGCAGCAGUGAGGAAUAUUGGUCAAUGGGCGAGAGCCUGAACCAGCCAAGUAGCGUGAAGGAUGACUGCCCUAUGGGUUGUAAACUUCUUUUAUAAGGGAAUAAAGUGAGGGACGUGUCCCUUUUUGUAUGUACCUUAUGAAUAAGGAUCGGCUAACUCCGUGCCAGCAGCCGCGGUAAUACGGAGGAUCCGAGCGUUAUCCGGAUUUAUUGGGUUUAAAGGGAGCGUAGAUGGAUGUUUAAGUCAGUUGUGAAAGUUUGCGGCUCAACCGUAAAAUUGCAGUUGAUACUGGAUAUCUUGAGUGCAGUUGAGGCAGGCGGAAUUCGUGGUGUAGCGGUGAAAUGCUUAGAUAUCACGAAGAACUCCGAUUGCGAAGGCAGCCUGCUAAGCUGCAACUGACAUUGAGGCUCGAAAGUGUGGGUAUCAAACAGGAUUAGAUACCCUGGUAGUCCACACGGUAAACGAUGAAUACUCGCUGUUUGCGAUAUACAGCAAGCGGCCAAGCGAAAGCGUUAAGUAUUCCACCUGGGGAGUACGCCGGCAACGGUGAAACUCAAAGGAAUUGACGGGGGCCCGCACAAGCGGAGGAACAUGUGGUUUAAUUCGAUGAUACGCGAGGAACCUUACCCGGGCUUGAAUUGCAGAGGAAGGAUUUGGAGACAAUGACGCCCUUCGGGGCCUCUGUGAAGGUGCUGCAUGGUUGUCGUCAGCUCGUGCCGUGAGGUGUCGGCUUAAGUGCCAUAACGAGCGCAACCCUUGUUGUCAGUUACUAACAGGUUCCGCUGAGGACUCUGACAAGACUGCCAUCGUAAGAUGUGAGGAAGGUGGGGAUGACGUCAAAUCAGCACGGCCCUUACGUCCGGGGCUACACACGUGUUACAAUGGGGGGUACAGAGGGCCGCUACCACGCGAGUGGAUGCCAAUCCCCAAAACCUCUCUCAGUUCGGACUGGAGUCUGCAACCCGACUCCACGAAGCUGGAUUCGCUAGUAAUCGCGCAUCAGCCACGGCGCGGUGAAUACGU